rnacentral:tRNA from 1 species
GGGCACACAGCUGAGUGGUUGAGUAUUUGCUUUGCAUGCAGAAGGCUUCUGGUUCAAUCCCUGAUACCUCCA